rnacentral:rRNA from 1 species
UACGAAGGGGACUAGCGUUGUUCGGAAUUACUGGGCGUAAAGCGCACGUAGGCGGAUUUGUUAGUCAGGGGUGAAAUCCCGGGGCUCAACCUCGGAACUGCCUUUGAUACUGCAAGUCUCGAGUCCGAUAGAGGUGGGUGGAAUUCCUAGUGUAGAGGUGAAAUUCGUAGAUAUUAGGAAGAACACCGGUGGCGAAGGCGGCCCACUGGAUCGGUACUGACGCUGAGGUGCGAAAGCGUGGGGAGCAAAGGG